rnacentral:rRNA from 1 species
AGAGUUUGAUCCUGGCUCAGGAUGAACGCUAGCGGCAGGCUUAACACAUGCAAGUCGAGGGGCAUCGCGAGAUAGCAAUAUUUUGGCGGCGACCGGCGCACGGGUGCGUAACGCGUAUGUAACCUACCUACAACAGGAGGAUAAUCCGGGGAAACUUGGUCUAAUACUCCAUAGCAUUAUGAUAUUGCAUAAUAUAAUAAUUAAAGUUGCGAGACGGUUGUAGAUGGGCAUGCGUGACAUUAGCUAGUUGGUAGGGUAAUAGCUUACCAAGGCGACGAUGUCUAGGGGAACUGAGAGGUUGAUCCCCCACACUGGAACUGAGACACGGUCCAGACUCCUACGGGAGGCAGCAGUGAGGAAUAUUGGUCAAUGGGCGGAAGCCUGAACCAGCCAUGCCGCGUGCAGGAAGACGGCCUUAUGGGUUGUAAACUGCUUUUGAGAUGGAGCAAUAAGAGCUACGUGUAGCUUGAUGAGAGUACAUUUUGAAUAAGCAUCGGCUAACUCCGUGCCAGCAGCCGCGGUAAUACGGAGGAUGCAAGCGUUAUCCGGAUUCAUUGGGUUUAAAGGGUGCGUAGGCGGGUAAUUAAGUCAGUGGUGAAAUUUUACAGCUUAACUGUAAGCGUGCCAUUGAUACUGAUUGCCUAGAGUGCAAAUGGAGUAGGCGGAAUAUGUCAUGUAGCGGUGAAAUGCAUAGAUAUGACAUAGAACACCGAUCGCGAAGGCAGCUUACUAAGAUGCAACUGACGCUGAUGCACGAAAGCGUGGGGAUCAAACAGGAUUAGAUACCCUGGUAGUCCACGCUGUAAACGAUGAUAACUCGUUGUCGGCGAUAUACAGUCGGUGACUGAGCGAAAGCGAUAAGUUAUCCACCUGGGGAGUACGAUCGCAAGGUUGAAACUCAAAGGAAUUGACGGGGGCCCGCACAAGCGGAGGAGCAUGU